CGAGUCUUGAAAUUUCUUGAAUUGUGCGGACAACGUUUUACGAGCAUGCGAAAAUGUGAAUCCGUAUAUCAUCUUUUGUUUUCAAAUGAUUCUUCCCGAGACAUCGAGACGAUGCGCAUGAUUGAUCGUCUCGAGCGGCGUUACGUUUCGGAUAAAUAAAUUGCAUGGACACCGAGAUUACCGAGAUGAUGAGCUCCAAGCUGCUCCGCCGAGAUUAGCCAAGAUGCAGUGACGACGUGAUGGCUGGGUUAAAAACACUUGCUUCGCUACCUCCCUCGCAAACCACGCAUGCUACGGGUGCAUCGCACGAAGCAAAAGCUGAACCGAAAAGCAUGCAUUUCUGUGUCUCAACGUUGGAUCAUGCAUUGCAUCCAUGCCACGGCCCGUUCGGUUCGUACUUAUUGUCAAAGCUUCACCGAUCUAUAGUACGCGCAGCUAAAAUCCAUCUUAUCAGAGGAACACGAGCGCCAACAAUCAACUCAUCAACCAACAGAUGCUGCACCAUAUUACGGAGUUUAGUGCAAACCACGUUCUCGGCGUGUGACUUUUUUGAGGUUAGGG